CCUACGGGUGGCAGCAGUGGGGAAUAUUGCACAAUGGAGGAAACUCUGAUGCAGCGACGCAGCGUGAGUGAAGAAGUAAUUCGUUACGUAAAGCUCUAUCAGCAGGGGAGAAAAUGACGGUACCUGAGUAAGAAGCCACGGCUAACUACGUGCCAGCAGCCGCGGUAAUACGUAGGGGGCAAGCGUUAUCCGGAUUUACUGGGUGUAAAGGGAGCGUAGACGGUGCGCUAAGUCUGUAGUGAAAUGCCGCAGCUUAACUGCGGAACUGCAAUGGAAACUGGCAAACUAGAGUGCGGGAGGGGUAAGCGGAAUUCCUAGUGUAGCGGUGAAAUGCGUAGAUAUUAGGAGGAACACCAGUGGCGAAGGCAGCUUACUGGACAGUAACUGACAUUGAGGCUCGAAAGUGUGGGUAGCAAACAGGAUUAGAUACCCGGGUAGUC
rnacentral:rRNA from 1 species